CUAGCUAAUCACAAGUAACUCUUUUUAACAAUAGACAAUGCUUUCACUCAGAAGCAGGGUGGAAGGUGUGGGCUACAAGGGGGGGAAGGCUAAACCAAGAUUAUAAAGAAUGAUGUAGUGAGGUAGCUCUUGGUCUUUGUACACUGACUUGUCUGCUGUAUGAACCCAAAUGCAUUUGCUUAAUAAAUGAGACUCAUCUGAUACCGUGCACGGGGGAGUCUGGGACUCCUGACUGAAAGACCUCCGCCCCGGUGAAGUAAAUUCAACAGUUUGGAAUAUUGAGAGGCCGGUGAGUGUUGGUGGAGACACACAGGGUGACAGGAUCUCGACUCAAUACGGGCAUAAGAGAAGAAUCCAAAAUAAUUCCUCCUAGACAACUGAAUCAGGUUGGUCAAUUUCAGUUCUGAAACAAUACUGUGAAGUCCUGGGGACUUAUAAUAACUGUUCUGGGGACAGUUUAACUUAACCAGGGGUUAAGUAAAAUAGAUCUGUGUGAAGUCCUGGGGGCUUGUGAUAACUGUUCUGGGAACAGUAUAAUUUUAACCAGGGGUUAAAAAGAAAACAGAUCUUUGUGAAGUCCUGGGGGCUUAUAAUAACUGUUCUGGGGACAGUUCAAUUUAACCAGGGGUUAAAAUGGGAAAGAGUGGAAGCAAGAUCCCCGCAAAGGGACCUGCUUCUCAGAUGGAAAAUGUUUAUGGGUCCAGGGUCCUAAAACAUUUGAAGCAAUGGAAUCAAUGGGGAUUCCCUGUUAAUGGAAGUCUUAAGAAACAAGACUUAAGUGAUCUUAAAGAAAAAAUUGAAGUGAAGUCGGGUGCUAAAGAAAGUAAAUUAAAGAAAUAUGGGAUUGAGGAAUGGAAAGUGUGGAAUAGAGAGAUGUUAAAAAGAGAGGAUGUGAUGAGGGAUAGAGAAAGCAGAGGU